CCACAUUUUCAUCAAGUAUUCUCCGCCAUUAAAACACAAUUAAAAAAAUAAAUAAGGAAAUAACACUAUGCAGGUCAAAGAAGAAGAAGAGGAAGACAAGAUGGCCGCCGACCUCUGCCCCAGCCGAGCCAGUCCACACUUUUUUCGCCAUUCCAAGCCUUGUGGAGGGUGUGAGGUCUGUUAGGAAGUGACAAUCGUUCUCUCAGCCUUUCGACACCACAAGCAGCCGCCGGGAACCCUGCUGGACAUACGGGGAAGGUCCCUGCCUCCCUGAUGCCUGGGGGCAGACUCCUGGCUGGUGGCUGUCCUCCUCACACCUCCUGCCUCCACAUGUCUUCUCAAAGGUCUUUUUGGUGGUCGGGCUGUGAGUCUCCCAGCCUUGCCGAUGGAAGACUCUCCUCCCUGGCCUUCCUCCUCCUUCAGGUCUUCCAGCUGGUCUCCUCCCGUGUACCUCCACAACUCCUCUGGAAGGUGGAGAGGGAGGAGUGCGGACAAUAACGCUGCCUGCUCAGUGUGGGCCCCAAACACCUAAAUGCCAAGGAAGAGAACAUGAAGGUGACGGCAAUGAGAGAGGAGGAGGCAGAGGACGAGGGAAUGAUUUAAAUGCUGCGGAAGAGAGCUGUCUGGGAACUGGCUUGAAGAGAGAUAAGAAGAAGAAGAGGAAGAGGAGGAAGAAGAAGAACAAGAGGAGGAGGAGGAUGAAGGGGGAACACAGGAAACAAUUGGUCCCUGCUUUCCCCUGACGGUGGUGGUCUCCUUGCUCCCGGGUGGUUGUCUUCACAUUUUUCUGCCUCCGCCUCCACAGGGCUUCCCAAGGGUUCCCCAAACACCACGACAGGCCAGCUGAGAAACAGAGCCUGGAGACACCCUCUUCCUCGGGGACCUUUCCUCAUGGCACCCUAACCUCCCUCCAAGAGACUCCCUCCCCACCCAACAACCCAUCCCUCCCUCCUCCCCUCAGUGCCAGGCACAUUCUCCCCUCCCAAAGUCUCCCGUCCCAUCCCAACAACCCAUCCAUAUUCUUCACUUGGUGGGCAAUGCUUGGCUGCUUGCCUUCUGAGACCUUCCUCAUGUACUUGGCAAUAUAGCCGUAGUGUUAAGGGAGAAAAUUUUGAUUAAACAGUGUGUGAGCUCAAAAGGUGAAACUAGCCAGCAAGGGAUGAUCCCUGUGGUGCGUCAAGAGACACGAAGAGGUGUACUACUGGCAAAAGUGUAG